GCAUAAAACGGCUCUUGUUCAUGGCGAGUUACCAGUUUAGAUGAAGUUGGUUCCACACCAGGUUACAAGUUGGAAGGUUUUAGGAAGAUUUCUUGCAAGACUUGAGUUAAGUAUAUUAUUCGAUUACAUUUAUAGUAUUAUAUUAUGGCAUAGUAUUUACUAUAACAUAUCGCUUCAUUAUACAGCAAUCUUACUACAUUACUUUAUAUAUUUUAUAUCUAAUUUUAUGCUACAAGUUUUUUGCCUUUCGUUUUGAAUGUAAAUCCCGGGACGUUCUUUUUAUUUUAUUAUUCAGUCUCGAUGAUUCUUUUUUUGACGUUACGCGCGACGUCACAUAAUAUCUCGGUUCAAAAUCGCCGCGUUCUGUUACGUCACAAUCCCACGCAGUGGUUUAAAAUUCGUUCGCCGCGCUCGUGCUAUUGUUACGUCAUUAGUUUCGUUACGUCACGGCUGAACAACACGCGACUGGUCUACCCUUUCGUUUGGCGACGUUUUUUUCAUGGGGCCCCAUGCGCGUUUUGCGUCGAAGGCACAUUACUUGUAUAUUCUAAUUAUAUUUGCCCAUGAGCGCGAAGCAAGAAGAUCAAAGAAUUGGUAAAGUAUAAAUCACAAUUGACAUUAUUACGUACAUAAGCACUUUUUUAGAAACAUCAACUAUGUGACGUCACGAAGUGGUGAUGACGCAACAGAAGAACCCACUUCAACAAGGUAUGUGACGUCACAGAGGAUCAAGCGGGCCAUGGCGCGAAUGAAGAAUAAAACAGAAGAAUCCGCGAAUACAGCUGCCGAAGAAAACGCAUUUAAAAGCCAAAGAACAAAGACGCCGAUAAGGAUACACGGUUUGAAGUUUGAGGUUUGAAGGGUAUGCUGUGUGUUGUAUGUGUGUCUUGUCUGCGUUGCUCUCCUUUAUUCUGCUGGACCUAAUGUUGCCAGCUAUUUUUAGUCAGUCACUACUAUAGUGCAUUUUGCAUGUCUUUGAAAUAUAUGCAAUAAAACUAUGGCGAACAUCUUGCUGGAUCCGAUUUUGUUGUUGUACACUCUAUUGUGUACUUCGUCUGCAAAGGUCGAAGCCUUUAGCGGUUCUGUAUUGUCCUAAUCGCUUGGUGAGAACGAUAUGUUGGUACACAAAUACUCGAGUAAUAUUAACACGCAGUAUAAUAUGCGCAUAAAGUUAAUAGAAAUCCAUUUAAUAUACUGUAACAUAAACUUUCCACUUGACAUACUUUAUAUUAAAACGUCAUGUAACGCGAUUGGGACGAUGGCCACGUCACAAUUGCGCUACGGCGUCGAUACGGUGGGCCAGAGCAUUGUCAUGACCCUGCGUCUGGUGCGGUUACGUCAGUUUUGAUUGAGUUACUUAACGGUUAGGGUGUUGCGUCGAUGUCGCCGCCAGUGAUGCUACGCUCGGUCUUGGGUCACUGUCAAUGCGGUUCGUAACAACCUGACGCAGUUUUGUAACGGUCGAUGCGGUGCGUAACACCCGGACGUUAUUAUAUUGUGUGAAGAUACGACGAGAGUAUCGCGGUACCAACAUGGCGACUCACCUUUUGAUUGGGACAUGCGGAGCUGUUGUUGGCUUCGACUCCUUGCGGUCGGACAUUUAAUAUGGUGUACACUGCAGAUGAUUAUCCUUCAGGAUUUGAACCAUAUUUUAUUUGUAGAUGUUUCAAUGAUUAUGUCCUCGUUAAUUACUUUUUGACUUUGCCCCCUUUUUGUAUGAUUGAGCUGUUGUGUUUGUUGCAUGUUUGGCACAUGUAUGUCGCUGCACUCGUUGUACUAUUUUUGUCUUUUUGUUGGUGUGUUCCUUACUAUUUUUGUCUGACGGUUAGUUUAACCUUGCUUGGGUAAGGUCUAUCCAGCAAAGGGUUUCUCACCAGAGUAGAAA